GGACAGUUUCUGAGCCCAGUGCUGCACCUCGCCACUAUGGAGCAUGAUGGCAAGAAAGUCAUUUCCACAGUAAAUCAGGACAAACGCCAAACAGGAGGCAGUUCUGUGGUCAUGGGAAAACUUGCCUUCAGGAGGACGAUGGACAGCAUCUGAGCGGGAUGAGCAAGCGUGAAGGAGUUUUGCACAGAAGCAAACAUCAGUAUGUCUGCACUGUUCAAGAGUGGUGAAUACAGAGACCGUGGCGUCCAGCACAGUCUCCAUAUCUGGCAUGGUGCAAAAACCCUCGGCAAAAACACUGUAGCGCUGGACGUGAGAAGCAGUGUGCUUCGCUCCUCCGUUGGAGUAGAGAUUUCACCAACCAUGUUUGGUGUUGCUGCCAGGAAGCGCCAACAUAUGAAGCAUUCAUGCUGUUUUUAUAAAGGGUCUGUGGACUGGAUGUAACAGAUGAACACCAGUGGUGCUUCGGUUCCUGCAGGCCUGGUCCCUCGGAUGAGACAGGAAGGACUAGGGAAUGGAUUCUGAAAGGCUCUGCAGCACAGCACCGCCUUCAGCAAACAGUCCUGGAUGCACGUUGGUGAAAAACAUCACAAAGUAUCUCCGUUCAGGUCUACUGCAGAGCUGGAGGCCUUCACAGUCGGGCAUUAACAGAAACGUCGACGAGUCGACAAGUCGACUUGUCGACUUCCGUUGCACAAGUCGACGUAAAUUUGGACGAGUCGAAAAGUCGUAGGUUAUUCUUUCUCCCACCUGAUCACCCGACAGAGCGCAAGUCUCCAUCAGCGCGUGUGGAUGUGCUCAUCUUUCUCCAGGAAAACAUGCAGCGCAGCCCAAGAAUGUGAGGGAAGGUGACCCAGAGUAGGGUUACUAAACUGACUGUGAUCUAAGGAUGUUACUACAAUAAGGAUUAUUUUUUACCCUUUGUCUUUAGAGGCUGGUGACUUCUAUUUUCUUUAUUUUUAUUGCAGCUGAAGUUAGUUUGUCAUUGAUGCCCAUGUGGUUCUGAAGUAUUUAAUUUCCAUUUAUUUCACGUUGAAAACUCUUUUCUAAGUAAUUUUCUGUGAACCAUGCAAGUAAGACCAGUAUUGAGUUAUAGUUCCGACAGCCAUUGGGUUUUGAUUGCUUUAUUUAUUUAAUUGAGGCACGUUGCAGGCUGAAGUUGGUUUCUGGUUGGUGCCUAUUUGCAGUUCUGAAGUAUGAUUUCCAUUUAUUUCACGAUAAAACUGCUGUCUAACCAAUGUUCUGUGAACCAUGCAAGGAAGACCAAUAUUGAAUUAUAAUUUUGGCAGCCAUUGGUUUUUGAUUAUUGUGGUAUUUAUUUCAUGAAGACAACGCACGCUAUUUUUUUUCCAAAACAUGAUGAAGACACGCGGUGUGCAUCUUGGCUGCUGCUGCUUUAAAUGUAAAAGACAACUCACAGCGUUAGCCUUUAUUUUGUUCGGGUUAAAGUCUACAUGGCUGCGUUGCAGUGAACUUUAAUGCAACUUGCUCGUUGCUGGACAGCUGUGUGUCCAUGUUGCCCCCCCCCCCCCCCCCCCCCCCUCCCCCCCCCGGUCAACGUGAUUAAUGCCCUAGUUCACAGCCUCAUACUGAUGAAAGCAUCAAAGCGCUUCGCGUUUUCCCCGCCUGUUCACCGGGCCAGAGGGAUGUUGGUGGACUUGAUUUCAGCCAUCCCCUGAAUGGAGGACCACCAACAAAAGCCGAAGGUAUGGCAGGAUUUACAACAACAAAUCCAACAUGUGGCGACUCCACACUGUCAAAACACCCAGACAGGGCUCCCCAUCCCAGAGCUCCGCAGGGCCAUCCUCCGGCGGAGGCUCGGAGCAGCCAGAGGGCUGUCAGAGAGAACCCUGAGCUGGUGCAGGCCCAGCAGAGCAGGAAGAGCAGAUUGAAACAGCCAGCAGUGGGCGGGUGGGAGCGACGCUCAGCCUGUAUGAAAGGGAAGCAUGAACUGGUUUUAAAGUAAGCUGCGAUUUGUGUCUCUCUGUUCUCUCUGAAACUGUAUGAUCUGCAUUUAUUUCCAGUUUUGGGAUUCUGUGUUUACAUGUGAGCGACGUAAUGACCUGAUCGAGGAGCCAAUCUUUAUGUUUCACUUGACACGGUGUUGAAAGAUAUAUAUUAUAAAGAUCUUUAUUACUGUUUUUAUAAACUGUCGUGUUAAUCUUCUGGACGGCCAGCCAGCCGUGGACAGACGUGCCUCACAUGUCAGUAUUGUUCUUAUUCUGUGUUGCGAAUGUGUGUUGCUACACAUUU